CGGCCGCAUGGCUUCCCUUCCUCACCCAGCCCCAGCUGAGCAGGGGAGCUCUGAGCUCCUUCACAGACCAGAACCAAGAGAGAGUUCCCCUGGGAGUUCUUGCUUUUAACCCUCUGUGUUCUCAGAGGCGCUCCAUACCUUCAGUGGCCAAACCAGGUGCCAAUAUUCAAAUCCAAGCACUGACUGGUUUGAUCACAACUUCCCAAAAAAACUCACUUCCUUUUUAACCUGCGGGAGACAGGUUAGGAUUAUACAGCUUUCAAUAUUUAAUUACAUAAUAAUCAUGCUAAUAAUAGCAUGAUAUUCAUCUAAAUAAAACAUACAGUGUUGUCUGUCCUUCAUAGAAAUGCCAAUUAGGUAAAUGCAUGAAAGAUAUGGAGGAAAUGAGAAAUCAGGAAGCAAGAAAGAUCCAGGGAUUGAUCUGUACCUGGAAAGAUGAUGGAGCAGAUACUUCUGGAAAUGGUGUGAAGGCACAUGGAAAACAAGAAGAUGAUUGGUGACUGCGAACAUGGCUUCACUAAAGGCAAAUCAUGCCUGAAAAAAAUUUGGUGGCUUUCUACAGUGGGAUUGCAGACAUGGGUGGUUAAGAGAAGAGUGAUGAACAUAAUCUACCUGUGCUUGUGCUAAGCAUUUGACACUGCUCUGAACAACAUCAAUAUCAAAAACAAAGAAACAUGGAUUUGAUGGAUGUAUUAGUUUGAAAACAAACCAGUGAGAGAUUCCAAGUCAGAACUACAAUUUAAUAGGAAGAUUAAGAUAAAGGCAAUGAUACAGAAACACUGGCUUAAAUUGACAAAGUCAGGAUACAACCUGACAUCUUGUUUGCUGUGUUGGUAGCAGUCUUAUUAAACGGUAGCUGUAGUCUUGAAGCGAUAGAUGUGGUUCUGUUGAAGCAGUGAUCCUGUGGAAGGGUCUGGUCCUCCUCUGCUCUGAAGGUCCAGUGGUGGUUAUGUAGCUCUUGUCCAUUGGGAAUCCAGUGGGUAGUGCUGCUCAUGGUGUUCCAAAACUCAGAUUUUAUCCAGGUAGGAAUGUUUGGUACCAACCCCUGGGCAGAGCAUUUCACAAUGGGAUGAUGUAAUUUUAUAAGUCAUGCAGUGAGACUUGAUGGCAGAGGUAGCCCCCAGAGGGAGUUAUCAGGGAUGAGGCAUGGAACAGAAUAAAGAACACUGCCCCACCAGUUUUAAGAGCAUAGGAAGAUGGUCAUAGAAUACAUACUUUCCAUUACAUCUUACAUUGUAACCUAAAACAAUGGACCUCUUGAUGGGUAAGGAAUUGGCUGGAAGCUUGUACUCAAAGAGUUGCCAUCAAUGUCCAAUGUUGCAAUCAAUGGUUCAAUGUCCAGCGAAAGAUCAGUGAUAAGCAGUGUGCCUCAGGGGUUCAUAGUGGGACUGGUAUUAUUUCACAUCUUUUUUUGUGGACAAGGACAGUGGAAUUGAGUGCACCCUCAGCAAGUUUUCUGAUGACACCAAGCUGAGUGGUGCAGUCGACACGCUGGAGGAAAAGGAUACCAUCCAGAGAGACAUGGACAGGCUCAAAGGUUGGCCCAUGCAAAACUCAUGUAAAAACAUGUGCUCAAGGUCCUGCCCAUGGACUGGGGCAAUUCCCACCACUAAUAGAGACUGGUCAGAGAAUGAAUUGAGAGAAGCUGUGAGGAGAAGGACUUGGGGGUGUUGGUGAAUGAGAACCUCAACAUGACCUGAAAAUGUGUGAUUGCAGCUCAAAAGGUUAUCCCAUUUGCUGGGCUAGAAUGGGCAUCAGAUGGACCAUUGACAGCCUGAGACUCAGGGAGAUAAUUCUCUCUCUCUUGUGACGCCCCUCUUCAAGUACUUUGUCAGCUCUGAGGUCCCCAGCACAAGAAAGGCAUGGAGCUUCUCAAGUAGGUGCAGAGGAGGGCCACAAACCUGAUUAGAAUCUGGAGUCCCUCUCCUGUGAAGACAGACUGAGACAGUUGGGGUUGUUCAGCCUGAAGAAGAGAAUGCUCUGGCGAGAACUUAUAGAAGCUUUGCCCUACCUAAAUAAAUCCUAUAGGAAAGAUGAGGAAAGACGUUUUAUCCAGGAGUAUGGUGAUAUGAUAAAGAGUAGGAGAUUUAAACUGGAAAAGAAUAUAUUUAAAGUAGACAUUGGGAAAAAAUUCUCUGCUGUUAGGGUGGAAUAUCACAGAGAAUAAGCAGACACCCCAUCCCUGGAAGCAUUGGGAGCCAAGAGGAAUAAACAUUAACAUUUUUAUAUUCUAGAGUAUUUCUUUUAUCUAAUGACUGUUGCAUCAUCUUCAUCCUAGUUGUGCUUGUGCUAAGAUGAAAUGGAAAUUUGAAACAGUUGUCACAAUUGUUCUGUCAGCAAUACCAGUUGACAUGGAAGAGGUGCUUGCAUUCAGUAUUUGAAGCAUGUGGGACUCUGAAUUUAAAAUAUUCAACUCAAACACAUGCACACAAUGUAUAUAUAUAUAUAUAUUUGUAUAUAUAUUGUAUACAUAUGUGUGUACAUAUAAAAUGCCAUUCAUCUGGGCGUUACAAAUGUUAACUUAAGUUGCUAGCUAAUCACAGAUGUACAAAACAUAAAUAUGGCAAAGAAAGAAAAAAAACAGAAGGCAAAAGGAAGGAAAUUUCUACUAAACAUAGAAUAUGUUAAUAUGUUUUUAUUAAACAUACUAUUCAUAUUUUCUGUAUCACAAUUAAUGUAGCUUUUAUUUCAUUUUAUGGUCGUGAAUGCAGUUUUACUUUGAAUGAUAAGUUUACUUGAAAAAACAUGAAGAGUUUUUUAACUCAGAUUUCUAAGAAAACAAAAUUCAUAAAUCACAGUAUUAUCACAAACACCUUAGCCUCUGUCAUUUCACUCUGUGAUUUACUCCUUUAUUUACUCCUUUUACUACAUUAUUUGCAAAAAAAAGUCUGACUGCACCAACUGAGUUAAAGAAAUCCCAAUAAAAACUAUGUUCAUGGAGGUUUUCUGAGAGCUGACAAUUAAGUUGAGACUGCUGCAGUACGGCUAGAGUGCAUUUGUACUGUACUUUGUUUAAAAGCUUCUAAGAGGAGUGGCAAACCUGUCUGCAUACAAUCCUAGAAAAGAUGUUGCAUCAACUGCUAUUCCUUAAAAAAGAUAGCAAAAGGAUAUGACUGAGAGGACACUGUACUACUAUAGUCACAGGGCUACUGAUUCCAGAAAAUAUGACAUAAAUUCACUGAAUGGAACUUGAUUUUACUUUGAGCCUGUCAAAUACACAAGGGAAACACA